AGCCAGACUCCUACGGGAGGCAGCAGUGAGGAAUAUUGGUCAAUGGCCGUAAGGCUGAACCAGCCAAGUAGCGUGAGGGAAGACUGCCCUAUGGGUUGUAAACCUCUUUUAUGCGGGGAUAAAGGUGUCCACGUGUGGAUGUUUGCAGGUACCGCAUGAAUAAGGACCGGCUAAUUCCGUGCCAGCAGCCGCGGUAAUACGGAGGGUGCAAGCGUUGUCCGGAAUCAUUGGGCGUAAAGAGUUCGUAGGCGGUAUGUUAAGUCUGGUGUUAAAUGCAGAAGCUCAACUUCUGUUCGGCACUGGAUACUGGCAAACUAGAAUGCGGUAGAGGUAAAGGGAAUUCCUGGUGUAGCGGUGAAAUGCUUAGAUAUCAGGAGGAACAUCGGUGGCGUAAGCGCUUUACUGGGCCGUAAUUGACGCUGAGGAACGAAAGCCAGGGUAGCAAAUGGGAUUAGAUACCCGAGUA
rnacentral:rRNA from 1 species